GGGCCUCGCCCUGCCCCGCGGCGGGAACGCGGCCGUGAGGGUGUGGGGUGUAGGUCCGCCAGGCCUGCAACGGCUGCCGAGGGUCGUGGGAUGCGCUCGCCGCGUCCCUGCUCAGGCGGAGGGAGCCCGGCCCGCCGCCAGGGAGUAUGACAACUUUUCAACUUGAGUGCACACACUGUCCCCGGAAUCCCGCGUUCCAGGGAGGAAGCGCCUUUGACAGCGCGCGCCGGUUCGUGGGGCCCGACGGCGUGGGCCUGUGGUUGCGGACCUGGCGGAGAUGCGCGUUCGCUUCGAUUGUAGGCCAUUCCUUUUAGGAGCUGAGAAAGGAUCCGUUUUUACAGCAUUCUCGACCUGUGAUUCUUGGUGGGGGAAACUAGUUAUGUGGAUAAAAAUACAGUUAGCAAAAUAAAAAUGCCAAUUUUACAUUUC
rnacentral:lncRNA from 1 species